GGGGCUUAAAUAUCAAGUGGGUGGAGAGAGGACAGCCGGUGUGCAUAAAAAUCAGCUUAAAUCCUCCUAUGCAGGAGUACUGUAAUAAAGCAAAUAAUACUUAUGGGCAGAGCUCCUCAGUAUAACCUGUUCAGCCUGGCUCUCCUGAGGCGAUUACUGUGUAACAGCCAAAUCCGCUGGAUCUUAGAGUCCUUGGAUGUCUGAUCCAUCUCCUCACCAGAUUCCAUGACAGGUGAGGUCAAAAUAGCUCUUGGUGUGUGUCACAGCAGGGAAUUCCCCAACCAGCAAUAGACCAGUGACGUCAGGGUGGUGAAGCCUUGAAGGCAGCAUCUCUGGCGCCUUUCAGCUCCCCGGGACCUGCCUGAAGGGCUGGCAGUGGUGCAGACAGGAAAACUCCAGGCACUGCAUCCACCCUGGUUGGUCAGUGCAUGCUGCCUGCAGAUUGGUCGGCAUGCUGGGGCAUACAUCACAAGUGCAUGCCCCGCAUCGGCAGAAGGGGAGGAGAGACCCAGGACCAUAGCAGAUGCAGUGUGAAGCCUGGCUACAGCAUGCCCCAGCAGGGGUGAAACGAGCAGAAGAGGAGCCUACUCAUCAGACUAGAGGCCCUGAGGAGCCUCAAACCCUAGGGACCCAAGCUCUGCAGGAGGUAGCAACCUGCACCAUGAGCAAAGCCCCAGAGAGAUGCCACCUUCCCCAGCAGGACCACGAGCAGCAACUGUGAGUUUGUUCUGGGAAGAGAGGUAGGGCGUGUUAUUGCUUUGAGCUUGGCAAUCCUUGUUGCGUUCAAGUUAAAGGUAUGCCAGACUGGCCUCACUGGUCACUGAUAUUAAAAACUAAAAGAAUUGAGUUGGGGGCUGAAGCACUAAGCCUGGGCUGGUAACCCUUAGAGGACUGAGAAAAGAAGGGGACAUGGAGGGCUUCAGAGACAGCAAAGGGGUUGACAUUGUUAGGCAAGGCCAAAGGAGGGAAAGACUCUGGGCAUCCUGUGCAGAGCUCAGGCAUGGACUGCCUAGCCAGUGGACUUCAUAACAUAGACUAAUAGGAGAUAGUAGUGGUCCUACAAUUGACAUGGAGUGUCGUCACCCCAGGGUGGCACAAACCCAGGUGUUACUAGGUGAGAGAUUUUUUUGAUAAAGCCAGAGUAGGCUUUUUGACUGGUCAAGGCUGUAAGCUGUAGCCGAGCACAGUUCAUAGAGUGACUUCCUAGCUGCAUGCAUCAUCAUUCCACCAGAUGACUGGUGGCUUGAUGAUCCUGUAAGAUCUGGUUGGCACCUGGAUGGGGUGUAAGGGGAGAAGGAGCGCGGGGGACCAGCAACUCAAGAUAUUUGUGAGAGCCAAAUGUCAAUAAAUAAGAAUCCUCCCUGUUUUCCUCUAAAGCAGCCCAUGCAGAAGCAGAGAUGCAGGUAGGGCUGCUAUAAUGGGUAUGUGAUCUCAUUGUGACCUGAUAUUGAAAUGGGGCACUCCUGGCUCCCACCAGCAUUUAAAUCGAGAGGUCAUAUCUACUCAGAUAGCCCUGAAGCAAUGAAGCAUACACUGGAAAAAAGGCAAACACAUCCUGGAGUGAAGCCAGGCAGUUUGGGUUAAAUACUUGGAGAACUCCUCAAAAGGGAGCAGUUAGGAGUACAGCUCACUGAAAAUCAGUGUUUCUCACUUGCCAGAAGUUUGGGGAGAAGUAAAGAGGCCUUCCCCUCCCUUCUCCUCCUCUUCCCUUCUUUCAUUUUUCAAAAUUUCUUUAAUUUCACAGUUUCCAAAGAAUUAGGCACAGGAACACACAUCUGCCAGCUUUCUCAACUUCAAAAUAGACCACCAGGCUGUUUUGCUCCAGGGCCAAGGACUCUGCUGUUUCUAGCAUCCAUGUGCCUGUGUCAGAUGGGCUGGUGGAGUACUCCAGGGACCCACAGAUUCUACCAAUCCUGACCUUGGGGCAGAUGCACCAGUAUUGCUGGGAAGAUUCCAGCCAGUCUGGCUAGAUAGUAGACUCCUCAGAGAGCUGAAAUUCAAAAAGAGGAAACGUGGUCAUGGUACUAGGGAAGAGUAUCACACAGGUACAUAGAGAGAAAGUUAGAAAGGCCAAGGCAUGAUUUGAAACAUUGGCAACGCGUAGAGGGUGCACAUGCACCCCCUGAGACUGGCAGUGCACUCCCUAUGAAAAGUGAUGGCCACUCGCCACCCCACCCUCCGCCCCCCUCUCCCUCACUGCUGACACCACCAGCAGCAUCUGUAGGCAGUCCCUGAUUGCUACCGGUAGUGUCUGCAGGUGGUUGCCGACCACUGGUUGGCAUUCACCACCCCCCUCCCCACCACAAUGCCAACACUGCUGUGGCUGCCUGCAGGAGUUCCCCGCUGCCACGCCCCUGCCGCCAACACUGCCACCACCACCAGAGGACAGUUGCCAUGCCCGCCCCAGCCUCCAGGGGCACACAGUGUUCUUGAUUUGAAGUGCAGCUGGCAAGGGACAUAAAAGACAAUAAAGUGGGAUUCUACAAGGGUGUCAACUACAGGAGGAAGACUGAGGAAACCAUAGGUCUCUUAUGGAAUGCAGAAGGCAACCUUGUUACGGAUGAGGUUGGAGGGGUUGGAUGUAUUUAAGUCGACAGGCCCUGAUGAUCUGCAUCCUAGGGUACUUAGGGAAUUAGCUGUAGUCAUAGCGGAACCACUGGUGCCACUGUUUCAGCACUUGUGGCACUCAGGACAGGUCCCGGAGGACUGGAAAAGGGCCAAUGUGGUCCCUAUUUUCAAGAAGGGGAGUAUAACAGGGAACCCUAGCCCUGUCACUAGACAGCAGACCCGUCCCCUUUAAGACAACUUUCUGGGCCCAGACUACUGGUGGGGAAGGGAUUAAGGACUGGUCCCAGCCCACUAGUCAGCUGACCGAAAAGGGGCAAGAUAAGAAUCCAGGACAGAACGGCAGGAGUGGGGGGUUCAGCAGCUGAAGGGGAAGGCAUGCCCCCGAGAGCUCCACAGAGAAGCUGGGUGAGCGGCCCAAAGGCGGGAACUAUGAACCUGUGGAAAGAUGGCAGCCUACCAAGGUUGGCUAGUGUGGGGGGACUGCCCGUGGUGGGGCAAAUCCCAUAAAAUCCCACACGAUGCGCCUUGGGGAAAAGGCGAGCAGGGGGUGCCUGAAAACCUCCGCCUCAGCAUACCUGAAUUGUCAAUGAGCGAGGACAAGAGUGAAGAUCCUGCCUGGUGAGUCUGGGGCUUAAGGGGGGAGGUGUGUAGCAGGGCACUAAGGCGCCUGCUACUCGUAAAGCAGAGAUAAUUACCCAGGUGCAGGUUGCUAGGGGCAACCAGGGCGAGCUAGUGACCCACACCUGCCAGCGGUCACCUGACCAGAAGGGGCAGGGCCUGGCUCACAUUUAAACCCCAGGGCUGAGGCCAGGCAGGGGGUUCCCUGCCAACAGCUGGGGGGGAAGGAGCUCUCCCAGAGAAGAGGGGAGAGGCCUGACUGCAGGAGCAGCUUCUGUCACUGCUGAGGGAUGGAGGAUUCCCCGGUAUGGCUUGAAUUAUGUUAUAGCCAGGGGGGUGCUUGUGUUUUUUUUGCUAUUUAAAAACCAGAGGUUUGGGUGAGGCUAUUAGGGGACGGAGGAGGCCUCAUGUUGGGGACCCACUCCAGAGUGGGAGCCCCGGCGCCAGAGAGAGCACAGCUUUGGGGGUACAGACCCCAGCACCAGUGAGGGCGCAGCUUUUGGGGGCAUAGACCCCGGUGCCAGUGAGGCACAGUGAGACAGGGCUGCGGAAAGCCCGAGUGCCAGUAAGGACACAGUUUGGGACGACACAAACCCUGGUACUCGAGGGACGAUUGUAAAAGGCCGGAGAGGCCUGGUGCACCUGGGGUGCGGGUAUAUUUUUGUUUUUGUUUGGACUGGUGGUGUUGCGCCCUGGUUUUGAGCUUGCAGCCCCCUUGCUGCGGGGCUGGAACCCGUGCCUCUGGGCAGGGAAGUGCUGUGUUCCAGAAGGGAGCAGGAAAGGGAGCCAUGAGCCUCCAGGCACUGGAAGGAAAAGCUAGAGUCUUGGAGUCAAGCCCUGGUUGGUGGGUUUGGAUGAGGAGGCCUAGCUAGAGGAAAAAAGGGGUCCAGCCAUCCUAGGAGAGACCCCAAUAUACCCAGUAUAAUAGGCAGUCUCCCGCUUGCAUAAUAAUUUCCAUCAAGACAUGGCAGGCGAGAUUAGGACAGGACAGAAGGAUUCCAAGAGGGCUCCAAGGGCACCCCACGCAAGGCGCGGAUGACCGAGAAGAUGGCACUGGGGAGGUCAACCUGUUACAGGGAGGAAGGAGGAACCAGGUAACUAUAGGUCAGUUAGCCUUACCUGUAUCCUUGGCAGGACCUUUAAGAAAAUUAAGGAUCACAUUUGUGGGGGACCAGUGGGUUAAAUAAUGCUAAGGGGCAACCAGCAUGGGUUCGUGUCAGGCAGAUCCUGCCUGCUUAACCUGGGUUUUUUUCAUGACCAGGUCACAAAUUGCUUGGAUGAAAGAAUAGAGAUAGAUGUUAUUUACUUAGAUUUUAAAAAUGGCUUGACAUAGUGUUGCACCUAGGGAGGAAAAAUUAUCAACACUCCUACAGCCUGGGAGGUGCCACUCUAAGUAGCACAACUGCAGAAAGGGAUCUCUGAGUCGUAGUGAGGCACCAAUGUGAUGAAGUAAUAAGUAAAGCUAACCUCACUCUUUCUUGCAUGAGACCAACACUUGUCCUUAGACCAACACAGCUACAACCUAAACCCCUUUGACACAGUGUUGCACGCAAUUCUUAUAAAUAAACUAAACAGUUGCAAUAUAGAUUAUUACACAGUCCAAUGGGUGGAAAAUUGGCUUAUGGAACUCACCCAGAGAGUGGUGGUGGAUGGGUUGGUUUCUACCUGGAGAGAUGUGGGCAAUGGAGUCCACCAAGGCUCUGUCCUGGGACCAGUACUAUUCAAUAAUCUUCAUUAAUGACUUGGAUGAGGGAGUAGAAAGCACCCUGUCCAAGUUUGCAGACUACACCAAACUAUGGAGGAGGUACACAAACUAGAGGACAGGGAGCGAAUCCAGGUGGAUUUGGACAGGCUGGGGAAGUGGGCAGAACAGAAUAGGAUGCAGUUUAACAAAGAUAAGUGCCAUGUGUUGCACCUAGGGAGGAAAAAUCAUCAACACUCCUACAGCCUGGGAGGUGCCACUCUAAGUAGCACAACUGCAGAAAGGGAUCUCUGAGUCGUAGUGAGUCACCAAUGUGAUGAAGGAAUAAGUAAAGCUAACCUCACUCUUUCUUGCAUAAGUAGGUGCAUCACAAAAAAGGUCUAGUAAGCAGACGAUACCUUCCCUCUAUGCAGCAUUGGUCAGACCACAGCUGGAGUACUGCAUAUUUUGGGCACCGCACUUCAAGAGCAAUGUGGAUAACCUGGAAAGGGUUCAGAAGAGGGACACCCAUCUGGUUAAAGGCCUACAGAAAAAACCCUACAAGGACCAACUGAGGGACCCGAAUCUUUUCAGCCUCCACAAAAGAAGGUUGAGAGGGCAUUCUUAUUGCUCUUGGUUCUGUCUCAGGGAGAUGCAUUCCCAUCCCCGACUUUUUCAAACACGAGUGAGAGUGGAUCAGAAACCUGUGAGGUGAACAAAGAGCCAAGUUAGAAGGAAAAGGUCAGCAGCACAAACACAUCAUAUUGCAACAAAAAAACCCAGCCCCACCAACUGCCGUGCUCUUUUAGAAGCUUCUCCCCUGUCAUGCUCCUGUGUUGAGUCUAAGCUACAAGCCAAAGGGAACUCUACGCACACCACUACAGGCAGAAUUUGAGGCACUGGUUGAUGAACAGGGACACCAGUUACAUCCUGGCUGCAGUCUCGGCUCCAACAAGAAUCUGACAGUAACACCCGUGCCCUAGGACUGUGGAGAGAAGGUUGUGCAAGGAGGAGUAGUAGGAGUGCUGUGUGGGGGGCAGCGUGAAUUGGUCAAAAAUAAAUUGGAGUCCAAGGCCAGAGUCCAAGGCCUCCCAUGUGACAGCCAAGAAUCUGCCUAAUCAAGUCAACUCUUCCUUUGUUCAUUCCUGUGCCCUGACAACCUCAGUCCUUUUGAGAAGAGGAAGAACUGACAGCACCAGAAAUAGCCACAAUGGCCUGGAUGGAGCUGGUGAAAGAAACAGCUCUGGCUCCUGAAGCCCAGAAUGCCCUGGUAUGCCAGGAUGCAAAGAGACAAGCCAACUCUGGGGACAGGGUUCCCUGUUAGCAGGUGUUGACACCUGAAGCCCAGCAGUGCCAUCCAUUCACCUGGCCUCUGAGCAGCAAUUGAAACCUCUGACCAAUGGCAGCUCCUUGGCAGCCUGGCUGCCCCUCUGCCACAUAAGACAGCAGAGGGAAGGAGGAGGCCCCCCAUCAAUAGUCUGAUAUCCAAACCAGGUGGGUCCCAUGAAUUUAAAUCAGGAACAUAAAGUUUGGGCAGACCUUCCAUUCCUGGGGAUGCAGAGGGCAGAUGAGCUAGCUGUGGGCCAAAUCCUAGAUGGGUCCUGGUUCACAUGGAACCAGACAUCAUAGGAUACAGCUCAUGGCAUGAUCAGAGUGUUUAUGCUGAAGCACAGACAGCUUCAGCACAGACCAUAACAUGAGAUGUAGAUGGAAAGAGGUGGGUUAGGAGUCACAGGUGACUUCACAACCUCCUCCAGAGGACCACUAAAUACCAGUUUAUAUGGCUUAAGACUCUUCCUGAGGUAAGAGGGAACAAGAGAAAGGAGUAGGCAGCCCUGCAGGGCAGGAGAAGAGUUUUGUCUAUACAGGAAAAUGGGCCAAAUAGCUUGGCAGACCAGCUCUUGUGUAGUCAUUACUCUGCACUAGCUCCCUAAAUGGGCAUUCUCAUUCUACAUUAAAAGUGAUUUUGCUUAAUCCACUCCCAAAGUGAACUGAACUAAUCUGCACAGAGGCACACUUGUGGAAUCAGAGUGUCCACAGGGGGAUGGAGUCCAGAAGACCUUCUGCCCUAUAAAAUUCAUAUCUUGGCUGAUUUUGCAAUAGGUACCCUGAAUGGCCAGCUCGGGAAAACAUUUAAGCUGAAAAUCUCUGUUUGAGAAGGCAGUCCUGCCUUGUGUCUGAGCUCCUUCAGUGAAGCAGUGCAGGCAUAUCUCUUUGGAUAUGGUUUUCCAUAUGCAGGAGGACUGCAAACUCUGAAGAAAGGUUCCCACUUCAUGUAUUUUUCAUUGCUCUGGUGUUGCAAGGACUUGAAAGAUCAAGCCAAGAGAAGAGGGUAGAGCAUGACAGAAGCAAUUGAGCUGGACUUGGAGAGGAGCAGCUGGCAGGCUGCCUUAAGAAAUAACUGGAAAGGAACAAGAGGAAAGGCUGCAGAGUGCCAGAGGGCCUUAGAAAAAUGAGCAAGAGAGAUGCUGGAAAGAGUGACUGGAAGGAGUCUGUGUUACACACCCAGGGGCAACAACCAGAUGAGCUAAUUGUGGCUGACAGCUCCCAGCACAGGCAGGUCUGGCAGAGGCACACAGUAACUCAGCCAUAAAAUGGGGGGACCACCCCACUCCUCAUCCUCAGUGUCCACCUACACCCUAGCUGUGCCGUAUCACUCGUAAGGGAUGAGGUUUGUCCCACAAGUGUGAAGAUACACUGUUAUGCUGUUGCAAGUGGUUUAGACAAGUGAAUGGAAAUAAACAACAUCCUUUCUGUGUUAAGACAGCUGCAAAGCCAGGGGGAGGCCACACCUAGGACAGAGUUGGGCUCAGUGAUUCAGUAGGGGAUGAUUUGUUCCAUUUCUGAAUCACUCAAAAUGCAUCAGUCAUUCGUACUGUAAAAAGCAGACCAACUUGACAUCCCUGGCCAGGGACUAGAGACAACAGGGAUGAACAUCUGCUAGCAGCAGAAGAGAAGGCAGAGGGUUUAGAAGUAAAGGUGGAGGUUUGCUGUGGCCCCAGGCCUGCAUUGUGACCCAGACAAGCAGACUGCUACAGAGGUCCCAGAAGUCAAUAGAUUUCAGUGCCCAUAUGGCAUGGGAUUUUCUCCCUUUCUUCUCCCACCCACUUCUGAAUCCUUCCACUUCUCUUCUGCCAUUGCUUCUCCUUUCCCUUCUUUCUGCAUCUUCUCUCCCUCUCUUGGACUCCUGCUUGCUCUGGCACUCCUUCCUGUCUUCAUCUUCUCUUAAUUCCCUUCCCCUCAAUCUCAGAUAGCUCCCUCCCUCCUCUAUCAACAGACUGGAGUCCCUCCUUGACCUCCUCUCCUCCCUUCCCCAAGGGGUUGAGGGUGAGAGGGGAGUUGAGGUGCAAAGCUAAAAGUGGGCAGGGAGAGGGAAGUUACUUCAAUAAGAAGGAAAAGCCUAGAGAAGAGGAGGAGGUAAAAUACUAGUGAAAAGAAAGGCUUGGCUCUGUUGCUUUGUUUUGCUCUCUGCAAUGGAUCCCUCCUAAACUACAACCAGCUCUAUAUUAGCUGCUAGGAGAACACAGACCUCACGCCACAGUGCUAUGCUUACCUCCCACACUGCUACUGUGAAACUGGCCGCAUCAAUGAGAACGUGAAUGCACCCAGUGCUUUCAGCAAGGCCGAUGAGGCACUGAUGAUCAAGGGCAGUUGGAAUAAUGGGGAAGGAUCCAGCACUCACUGAAACCAGUGAGUCAUUUGGAUGGCUCCAGUAGAGUUAGAAAGAGCUAAAAGUUUGGCUGUUCUACACCAGCUCAGGGGUGGGGGAGCACGCUCGGCAGCUUGACACAGAACUCUGCUCCCACUGAAGCCAGUGGCAACACCCCCAUUGCUUUCAAUGGGAGCUGGCUGUAACCCCAGUGCUUCCAGGAUGCUGAGCUAUGGCAGGUUACAAGUCCUUCAGCCAAUGAAACCCCUCUCCUUGCACCAACUUCUACAGAUAACACUUCCCUGACUCAGAAUUCUGUGUGGCUCAGACAUAAUGGAGGGAGUGUGACACUUAUGCUACCCACUAGCUAGUGAAUAGCUCUUGAUUGUCAGUAGCCCAGUAUUUGCCAGACAGAGCAACAGUUCACAUCUCUAAUGUUUCAGGGACCAAACAACCCGGAUCCCACUCUCAAUUGAAUUCUUUUAUCAGGGGAAUGAAUGCUGGCUUGUGGCUUGGCUGAUCUUGUGGAUUUCAAACUCAGAAUGUGCUGUUAAAUGAAAUACCACACACUUGCAGUCUGCCUUUCUCUCCUCUUUGUCUUCAGCAGAAACAAUAACCAAGGAGUAGCUGUGAGUUAUUUAAUGUCCAUGUCCUAGUGCAGGGGAUGGCAGCAAUCUGGGGCAGAUGUUUUGAUUAGAUUUUUUUUUACUGCUUUUUAUUUGUAUUUGAGAGUACCCAACUACAUUCUGGAGACUUCAGUGUCCUACUGGAAUCCAGACCUAUGAUCAACAGCUAAAGGAGGAAGGGAGCCAGGCAGAAGAGGAGUGGUAAUCAUAAUACUCUGGAGUUACCAAGCAUGUAUUAACUUACUAUUUCCAUUGAUGUCAGUAGGUUGGUUUCUUUAACUCUUGCUACAAAAUUUUACAUCUUGAAACCAUUGCAGACAUACAAUAUUUCUCUGUUCUGUUUAACACUUAUGUUGUACCCAAGGCCUUUGGUUUCACUAGGAUCCCCCUGUGCUAGGCAAACAGAAAGUUAAAAACAGUGCUUUCCCCAAAGAAUUUAUAACCUAAAUUAUAAGAUAUGAUGAGGGAAUGAGACGAACAAGUGGGAACAGAGGAGACAGUUACAAAAAAAACAGGGACCAAAGCCCUGACUCCAUUGUACUUCAUGGCAAAACUCCUAUUGACUUCAGUGGGCCUGGAUGUUUCAGUUCAGAGUACCACUGCACCCAUUCUCUGCCAUAGGUGUGUAUGCUAGAUAUGAAUAACAAGGAUAUUGUAGCUUGGCAAACCAAGCCGGGAGGAGGAGUACAGAUGAAGUAGUCCUUUGCACAGGUGAAUGAUGGGCUGGUGAGGGAGAAAGACACAAAUGGGGCAUCAGGUCUGGAGUCACCGGGAGAGUGGAAGAAGAAGUGAUAAGAGGAAAGGUUCAGGGUAGGUCUGAACUUGAGAAAGGCCUUUGAGGUAAGAAAUACCAUAGAAUGGUUGGGAACAUCUGUUCCUUUGUAACAUUUCAGGGUACCUAAAAGAGAACACCAGUGGUAAUUUAUGACCUGGAAUUACCAUUUCCUGUUACUCCUUUUUAACUGAUUUUUUUAUUAGUAAUUUUCAGAGGGAAAAUAUAUCAGCACAUAUCCAAUUUCCAUACUUGGGAAAAUGAAGCUAGACACAUUAAUCAGUAUGUAGACCCCAUUGGGGCAGAUCUAGGAUUUAGCAAAAUGGGAUGCAGGAAGCAGCCAUCCCUGCUCUCGGCCUCCUCCCCUCCAACUCACCAGCGCAGGCAGAACCUGUGGCAGGAGCAUCUGGGGACUUUUAACGUUCCCAAAGCAGGUAAGCCUACCUACCCCCUUUCCCUUCUGUGCUCAGAGGCACAUCCACUCCACUCCCAUCUCCUCCCCUCUCUUCCUCCUCCAGUCACUGCUGCUUUUCCUGCUGUCCCAGGGUCACAGGAAGCUUCAGAACUGCUCCUGCCCACUCGAGUUGGGCUGCGUGAGGGUUGGGCUCAGCUGGGAACAGCAGCAGUAGGGAGAUGAUGGGUUUCCCCACACUUCUCAGUCCCCCUCAGGAAUGCGUGCAGGAAGCCACUGCUGCUGUCCCUGCCCUAGGUGAGCCCAGCCCCUUUGCCACCCAGCUGGAGUAGGCAGGAGCAGCUCUGAUCAUUGCCUCACCCCUGGAGCAACAGGGAAAGCAGCCAUGACAGGCGGGGGGCAGCAGAAUGGGAAAAGACAUGUCUGUGAGCGUGAAGGGGAAGGGAAAAUCCUCCUCGACUUUGGGGACUUUUUUAAAGUCACCUGAAGCUCCAGCAGCACAGUUCAGCCUGAAAGGGGGGUGCAGCCGCACCACUGCACCCCCUCUGGAUCUGUCCCUGGGUCCCAUUCCUGCAGGGUACCUUGCAUGGGUAGAUCUCUACUGGAAGUCAAAGGGCCUGUCCACACACUUCUACAUAUAUGAUCAGAUCAGGACCUACAGGGCUUAAUUUUCAAAGGAUAUGAGCACAUGGAAGCUUCCACUUAUUCACAUUAGUAGUUGUAGGUCCCUGAAAAUGGAAGAUCAGACUACAGGGCUCAUUUUAGAUAUAGGUGCAAUAUCAGGCAGGUGUAGUUAUUGAUAAAACAGCUUAUUGCUAAAUGUGUUUAUCAUAGUCACAACUUUUCUAAAAAGUAUCAGUCCACACAAGGCUUUCACUUCUGGAAUUUAUACAAACAUAUACUCCUUUGAUGUGAACUUGCCUAAAUGGGUUGUAGACCAGUGUAAGUGUUGUAAGCCAAUUUCCAUGGCUUUUGUUGUGGAAUUAGAGAGACUCCUCAAACCAUUCCCUGUUGCUCUCCUUGGCCAAAUGUACAAAACUGAACUCUGUGGGCAACACUGAGAUCUAAAAGCAUGAAGAGAUUGAGCCUGACAGUUUAGUAAGUCAUAACAACACAAAAUGCCAUGAGGGGAAUAUGUAAGUAAAUAUGGGAUCAUUCCAGUGCAUCAACAUUUUCCAAACUGCUCUCCAUAUUUUGGUCUAAAAUCUAGUAUAUAUUUAAACUUCACUGAAUAUACUUCAUAUUAAUUUAGCCUUACCCAUCCUUUUUUGGAAACUGUACUAUUAUGUCUGUCUUAUUUAUUCAUUUUGUAAGUAGUUUAGGGCAAGGAAAUUCUUCUAGUUGCACAGAUUGCAGCACUAUGGAAUCCCAUUCUUGGCUCACACUUAGAUAUUACCAUAAUAAACAUAACAUUGUCAUUUACUAUUAAUGAUCUUCACCUUUCUCUGCCCCAUCCAAGCACACACAUCAGGGAUGCAUUCACAGUCAAGCCACCCAUUUUAUUUGCCUGUAUCAUCCAAUCAGCAGCAAUGCCCCUCCAACCUGCAUGUGGAUUGAGGGUAGUCAGGUGAGGACUCAACUUGAUUUGCUCAGUCCUUCAUUUCCUCACUUCACUUAUUCCAGUAAAUGGAUUUCCAUCCAGAAGGCCAGUAAACAAAUUGGAUUUGUGCUGGUGAUUUCUAUAUUCCACUUAGCAGCUAUUCCUGAGUCCCAUUACAGUAUGGAAAUAAGCUGAAUUUAAAGAAUUGCUGAUAUCACAAAGGAAAAUUAGGGGAUAUCCUGAGAUAGAUGCUCCCCUGUAGAGUUAGAGAAUGACUGAAUGUCUGCCUUCUGAUUUUUCUCUCUCUUUAUGCACAGGGCGGUUAGCAUGUGUUUCUACCACGAGUGACACUCCCACUGGGACUCUGGUCAAACAACUUUCAUUUCUGCCAGGGUCACUAUAGGAGCCCUGCUACUAAGGACUGCAGAGGAAAUAUGAUGAAUAUGCAGAUCACAAGCUGCACUUGCUGCAUCUCAGUUUAUUUUAAAGAGUAGCUGAUGUUUUACAGAUAGAACUGUCAAGAACUUGGGGUAUAUGACCUGCUCUCUGGUUUCCAAGGGAGAGGUUUUGUCACAGAGGAGUAUGAGUUCAAGUCAGGCCAGCAGAGUCAAAAUAAAGUUAAAAAGCAAAGAUCCGGUUACUAAGCAAAUAUACCCAGUAAUAAAAAGGAAGUAAAAGAAAGAUAAAAAGCAUUGUGGCUAGGGACAGAAGUUACACAUAAACCAGUGUAAGUCACCAGAAACUGGUUUAAACCUGUAACAGAACCAAAGCUCAAUGCACAUAAACCAGUUUCAAAAUGGCUGAAACUGGUUUAAAAUAAACCUAGUUGAAUGUAGUAUCAGACUUAGCUGAUUUAGGUCAAACAGGUUUAUGAAACUUCUGUUCCAGAUCCCUUCCUGGUUCCAGUUAAAUCAGAGUCUCUCAGCAUCUCAGCAUUUUGCAGCCCUGGGCUGGGCUGGGCUGUCUGCUCCAGAGAGCAGGGCUGGCCCCAUCCCUCUGCUCCCUAGGGCUGGCUCACUGGCCUCACUGGCUGGUUCACAGCUCCCCGACCAGGCAAACCCUGGCUGGGGGCUGGGGCCUGGGAAGGGGAUUAAACUCCCCUUCCCCCAAGUACAAACCUGCCCUGCCCUGCUGGCUGAAGCUGUGGACUACAAAUCCCAUAGAUACCUGGAAGCAGAAAGAGAAAGUAGCAACCCCACAGAGUCCUGCUGCUGUGAUUAUGAACUGCAAUCCCAGAGACCUCAGGGGCCACAGAAAGAGGAAGCGAACACAUAGGCUAUGCUGACUAUGUGACAGAGAGCUGUGCUGCAGUGCCCCCUGACUUCUGGCUUGAGCCACUGCAGGCAUGUGGCUGGAUUUCCUUAAUCAAAACUGAAUGUCUGUUCGUUUACUUAUUGGUUCAAUCUUUGCAGCUUAGACUAACCUGCAAAGACUGAAUCAAUUCAGCCUCAGGCUUGUUGAGUGUUUGUACUUGGCCUGUAAGUCUAAUGGGACGUUUGCUGGUGUAUGGACAGUGAGAUCAGGAUGCCUAGAUGUCUGUCAGGGUAUACUCUAGAGUCCUUACCACCAUGAUGGUUAAGUAGAAAUGUUUUCACAUCUUCUCACACCAGUUACACUUCAGUAUUGUGUCAUGCCCUGCAAGUUCACCAGCAGAAAAGAUCCAUGGUUGCCUCCCUCAGUGGUGGAAGCUGUGUAGACUGGAAGAGGAAUCUGGAAGACUGUCCUAAGUGGAUGGAACACGGAUGUGUGCUCUGUCUUUGCCAUGCAGAAACAACUGGCUACCUAGUUUGGUAUCCUUUUCAGCUUUUCCUCCCAGGAAUGGAUAUUAGGUGGGGAGGCAACAUGCAGAAAAUGGUGCUUGGCAACUCUCAAGGAAAUGAAUGAUUAUUUUUCUGUGUAGAAUACCAUACUGACCAAACCUGGGUUUUUAUUCUAGGUCACAAGAGGGCGCUCCAAUUUUUUUUUUUCCAAAAUACGCUUUCAGUAUAAAUUCAAAAUGAGCUGGCUGCUUUGAGUGGAUUGGAUAUAUUCCAUAGGAUAUCAUGGCCUUUUAAGAGCUGUUUUGCUUGGAACAGACAUGUUCACAAAGACAACAUUGGGGGAAGUCAGAGGAGCUUACAUCAGCUUUAAAAACAUGGAAGUAGGAUAUUACAUUUUGUUAUUAUUUGUACGACAGUAGUAGAGGUUUUCAGAAAAAGGCUGGGUAAGCAUCUGUCUUGGAUGAUUUAGGAAUACUGAAUCCAGGGGGCUGGACUAGAUGGCUAGUGAGAGCUUUUGAGCCUAGGAAUAAAUGAUUCUAGUGCCCGUGAGCUCCUGUCAUGAAUCAAGAGGCCAUUGUGUUCCGUGCUGAGCCAGCCCGAAACAGAAAGCACAUCCCUGCCUUGGAGAGCUUAUGGCCUGAGCAAGCAUUGAUCAGUGGAACAAACCAUCUGCCUGCAAGCUGGUUCCAGCUUAUCAGAUAAAAUAAAGAGUUGACAUUGCCAAUGUAUCUGGUUACAGACAAACAUUAACUAGAGAUGCAGGCUUAAGUCCAGGAUCUUAAAAGCAGCUUCCACUUUUAAAAGUAUUGGCAUAAAUAUCUGAAAAACACUUCUGUUUAAGCAGGAGAAUCUAGGAGAUUAAUCCCUUCCAUCCCAACAACUGCAGUGCAUUGCACUGAAGUCUCAUAGUUAUUUAAUGCCUUUAGAUCAAUAUGAAUCUGGAUUAACUGCAUUUAUGGUAGGGAAGUCACUUUGGGCCAGCUUCUCUGGCUCAACUCCACCCUGUUCCUGCUGGCCCUUUUUUAUCCCAUCAAGAGGUCACUAUGCUAGCUUCUUCCCUGCCCACUUCCCACACCCACCACCCUUUUCCUGACACAGAGGAUGCGAGAGUGGAACUGCUCUGACAGACCCUCUUGGCCUUGGGACCUGCAGCCAGCUGGGAUAAAUUAGAGGAGCUCCUGGAGCAGGUGGCAGAGUAGUCUUUAAGGAGCUGGUUUUGGCUCCUUGAAUCUCUAAGCCAGUGAUUCUCAAGCAGAGGGUGCCACACCACCCCAGGGUGGCUUGAGAUCCUUUCAAGGGUGCAGCAGGGUGCCAUGCAAGGUUAGCACAAUUAGGUGUGCAAACAGGAUUCAUAAGAUAAACUCAGAGAUUUUAGAUAGGAAUUCAUAGUGUUAAAAACAUUCUGCCCUGUUGUGAUCUAUCUGAGUUUUUUGCAAAAGAAAGACAGACAGACUUGUUUUUUUUAUUUUUUCUGGAGUCAAAAAGUGAGUGAAAACUAAGAGCUGCCAUUUUCUAAGGUGUGCCCUGAGCCUAAGGAAUUCAAGUCUAAAUGUUCAAGAGCUACCGAGCUUGGCUAAUCAGAUUUUGGUCAGCCCUGGGCCAGAGAAUGAAGGAACUCCGAGUCUCCCUGGUGUCCUCCUCCACCCUCCUUCACUGAAGUCUGAGCCUCUGGAUUUGUACCAACAUAGCUAAGCACACAUUGAUCUUUAAGGACUUAAUGGGUGAAAUCUUGGCCCCGCCAAAGUGACAAAACUCCCAUUGAAUGCAACAUGGCCAGGGUUUCACCCCGCAUGCUGCAUGGAUGUCAGAGUUCUGCAAACAGCAACAAGUAGCAGUAAUAACCAUCAUAAUGACUAUGUGGUGAGAGGCACUCCUUAUCUUAUGAAUUGUCAAGGCUAUGCCUGGAGCAAAUGAGUUUGCAGCUCUCUCAUGGUUAAACAUGUUUCUGUAUUACAGACUCUGUCUCAUUAACAUUAAUGCCUUCUAAGCAGUAAUUGGCAUUCAAGGGAAACAUAAAUAACCUGUUUUCCCUUA